rnacentral:rRNA from 1 species
GAUGAACGCUGGCGGCGUGCCUAAUACAUGCAAGUCGAGCGAACGGACGAGAAGCUUGCUUCUCUGAUGUUAGCGGCGGACGGGUGAGUAACACGUGGAUAACCUACCUAUAAGACUGGGAUAACUUCGGGAAACCGGAGCUAAUACCGGAUAAUAUUUUGAACCGCAUGGUUCAAAAGUGAAAGACGGUCUUGCUGUCACUUAUAGAUGGAUCCGCGCUGCAUUAGCUAGUUGGUAAGGUAACGGCUUACCAAGGCAACGAUGCAUAGCCGACGUGAGAGGGUGAUCGGCCACACUGGAACUGAGACACGGUCCAGAGUCCUACGGGAGGCAGCAGUAGGGAAUCUUCCGCAAUGGGCGAAAGCCUUACGGAGCAACGCCGCGUGAGUGAUGAAGGUCUUCGGAUCGUAAAACUCUGUUAUUAGUGAAGAACAGAUGUGUAAGUAACUGUGCACAUCGUGACGGUACCUAAUCAGAAAGCCACGGCUAACUACGUG